GCCCGGAUCAAACUUUAAAAAGGCAGAAGAGACUUCUGAUCUCAGACUGACUCAGACAUGGAGGAAGAGGAGUCAGGACCUCACAGUGGUACCACCGUGACAGCAGCACAACCCGACGGCGCUGUCUCCCUGUGAAUACGACGGGUGCUGUUUCCCUGUGAAUACGACGGGCGCUGUUUCCCUGUGAAUACGACGGGUGCUGUCUCCCUGUGAAUACGACGGGUGCUGUUUCCCUGUGAAUACGACGGGUGCUGUCUCCCUGUGAAUACGACGGGUGCUGUCUCCCUGUGAAUACGACGGGUGCUGUCUCCCUGUGAAUACGACGGGUGCUGUUUCCCUGUGAAUACGACGGGUGCUGUUUCCCUGUGAAUACGACGGGUGCUGUUUCCCUGUGAAUACGACGGGUGCUGUUUCCCUGUGAAUACGACGGGCGCUGUUUCCCUGUGAAUACGACGGGUGCUGUUUCCCUGUGAAUACGACGGGUGCUGUUUCCCUGUGAAUACGACGGGUGCUGUUUCCCUGUGAAUACGACGGGUGCUGUUUCCCUGUGAAUACGACGGGUGCUGUUUCCCUGUGAAUACUGUGCAGGAUGUGGAGGCGAUGGAGCAAAAGUUACUCGACACAGCUUUCCUGAAUGGAGUGGUAGCUGCUAUGAAUGGGAUGUUUAUCAAAAUAUUUAUUGUAGUAUUUUGUUUAUUUAGUCCAUUGUUAAUAUAAUCCCAACAAUCGUGCAUGUUAGCAAAUCAAGUUUUCAAGAUGGAGCACUUUCAGUACAGAGCAAACAGUGAUGAUGACACAAAUGAGAAACAUUAUUAUAAUUAUUAUCAUAUCAUUAGCAUCAUCCCUCUCAUUGGCUCUAUACUGCAGUGUUUCCUGGUCCAGGGGAUCAAAAGGACCUUUGAAUUGAAUAAGGUAUGUGAGUGCUGAGGCAAAAAAACAACAGUGUGCAUCCCUUGGGACCAGGAUUGGGGAACACCGCUGUACUGAAAGUCCAUCUUGAGAACUUCACUGCUGAACAUUUUGGGGGAUUUUAUACAGGGUGAGGAAACUAAGGUGUACGUUUUUUGUAAUUUGAUUGAACUAUCCCUUGAUCUGAAAAAAUGUGGUAUAAAUAAACCUGCUCAGAUCAGGGCUACUGUUUAUGAGAUGAUGAUGAUGAUGAUGAUGAUGAUAGGACCAGAUACUACUUGACACGUGUAAAAGGUCUCCCCUCACCUGGUUGUCUAGGUCUCUCCUCACCUGGUUGUCUAGGUCUCAGUAAGGAACUCCCCUCACCUGGUUGUCCAGGUCUCAGUAAGGAACUCUCCUCACCUGGUUGUCUAGGUCUCUCCUCACCUGGUUGUCUAGGUCUCAGUAAGGAACUCUCCUCACCUGGUUGUCUAGGUCUCAGUAAGGAACUCCCCUCACCUGGUUGUCUAGGUCUCAGUAAGGACCUCUCCUCACCUGGUUGUCUAGGUCUCAGUAAGGAACUCCCCUCACCUGGUCGUCCAGGUCUCAGUAAGGAACUCCCCUCACCUGGUUGUCUAGGUCUCAGUAAGGACCUCUCCUCACCUGGUUGUCUAGGUCUCAGUAAGGAACUCUCCUCACCUGGUUGUCUAGGUCUCAGUAAGGAACUCCCCUCACCUGGUUGUCUAGGUCUCAGUAAGGAACUCUCCUCACCUGGUUGUCUAGGUCUCAGUAAGGAACUCUCCUCACCUGGUUGUCUAGGGCUCAGUAAGGAACUCUCCUCACCUGGUUGUCCAGGUCUCAGUAAGGAACUCCCCUCACCUGGUUGUCUAGGUCUCAGUAAGGAACUCUCCUCACCUGGUUGUCUAGGUCUCAGUAAGGACCUCCCCUCACCUGGUUGUCUAGGUCUCAGUAAGGAACUCUCCUCACCUGGUUGUCUAGGUCUCCCCUCACCUGGUUGUCUAGGUCUCAGUAAGGAACUCUCCUCACCUGGUUGUCUAGGUCUCAGUAAGGAACUCUCCUCACCUGGUUGUCUAGGUCUCAGUAAGGAACUCCCCUCACCUGGUUGUCUAGGUCUCCCCUCACCUGGUUGUCCAGGUCUCAGUAAGGAACUCCCCUCACCUGGUUGUCUAGGUCUCAGUAAGGAACUCCCCUCACCUGGUUGUCCAGGUCUCAGUAAGGAACUCCCCUCACCUGGUUGUCUAGGUCUCCCCUCACCUGUUUGUCUAGGUCUCCCCUCACCUGGUUCUCUAGGUCUCAGUAAGGAACUCCGGUCACCUGGUUGUCUAGGUCUCAGUAAGGAACUCCCCUCACCUGGUUGUCUAGGUCUCAGUAAGGACCACCCCUCACCUGGUUGUCUAGGUCUCAGUAAGGAACACCCCUCACCUGGUUGUCUAGGUCUCAGUAAGGACCUCCCCUCACCUGGUUGUCCAGGUCUCAGUAAGGAACUCCCCUCACCUGGUUGUCUAGGUCUCAGUAAGGAACUCUCUUCACCUGGUUGUCUAGGUCUCAGUAAGGAACUCCCCUCACCUGGUUGUCUAGGUCUCAGUAAGGAACUCUUCUCACCUGGUUGUCUAGGUCUCAGUAAGGAACUCCCCUCACCUGGUUGUCUAGGUCUCAGUAAGGAACUCUCCUCACCUGGUUGUCUAGGUCUCAGUAAGGAACUCCCCUCACCUGGUUGUCUAGGUCUCAGUAAGGAACUCUCCUCACCUGGUUGUCUAGGUCUCAGUAAGGAACUCCCCUCACCUGGUUGUCUAGGUCUCAGUAAGGAACUCCCCUCACCUGGUUGUCUAGGUCUCUCCUCACCUGGUUGUCUAGGUCUCAGUAAGGAACUCUCCUCACCUGGUUGUCUAGGUCUCAGUAAGGAACUCUCCUCACCUGGUUGUCUAGGUCUCAGUAAGGAACUCUCCUCACCUGGUUGUCUAGGUCUCAGUAAGGAACUCCCCUCACCUGGUUGUCUAGGUCUCAGUAAGGAACUCUCCUCACCUGGUUGUCUAGGUCUCAGUAAGGAACUCCCCUCACCUGGUUGUCUAGGUCUCAGUAAGGAACUCCCCUCACCUGGUUGUCUAGGUCUCUCCUCACCUGGUUGUCUAGGUCUCAGUAAGGAACUCUCCUCACCUGGUUGUCUAGGUCUCAGUAAGGAACUCCCCUCACCUGGUUGUCUAGGUCUCAGUAAGGAACUCCCCUCACCUGGUUGUCUAGGUCUCAGUAAGGAACUCCCCUCACCUGGUUGUCUAGGUCUCUCCUCACCUGGUUGUCUAGGUCUCAGUAAGGAACUCUCCUCACCUGGUUGUCUAGGUCUCAGUAAGGAACUCUCCUCACCUGGUUGUCUAGGUCUCAGUAAGGAACUCCCCUCACCUGGUUGUCUAGGUCUCCCCUCACCUGGUUGUCUAGGUCUCAGUAAGGAACUCUCCUCACCUGGUUGUCUAGGUCCCAGUGAGGAACUCUCCUCACCUGGUUGUCUAGGUCUCAGUAAGGAACUCUCCUCACCUGGUUGUCUAGGUCUCCCCUCACCUGGUUGUCUAGGUCUCAGUAAGGAACUCUCCUCACCUGGUUGUCCAGGUCUCAGUAAGGAACUCAGUAAGAGGGGGGGGGGGGCAGUGCCCCUGUGACAACAACUUUGGACCCCCUUGUGGCCCCCCCUAAAUGUGAAGUAUGAAAUAAUUUUUACAUAACACAUUUUUUGCUAUCGUUCUUUUUUUUUUACAUCCGUUAUUAGACAGUGGCAACGCGGAACACUAAUUUAACACAGACAUCUUCUAGAGGGACGGAUUUAGGAUGGAACACAGCAGUAUCGUACCACAUGCAAAACGAUAUGACAACAAUAACGUCUAAUGUAACUGGCCCCCCCUCUAACAGUACAACUGGCCCCUCUAACAGUACAACUGGCCCCUCCCUCUAACAGUACAACUGGCCCCAGCUUGGCCCCCCCUCUAACAGUACAACUGGCCCCAGCUUGGCCCCCCCUCUAACAGUACAGCUGGCCCC
rnacentral:lncRNA from 1 species